GAUGAACGCUGGCGGCGUGCCUAAUACAUGCAAGUAGAACGCAGUUUCGCACGGGUGAGUAACGCGUAUGUGACUUCCUCAUUGCGGGGGAUAACUAUUGGAAACGAUAGCUAAUACCGCAUUCUUUGAGCUGGACCUGCGUUGUAUUAGGUAGUUGGUGGGGUAAAGGCCCACCAAGGCGACGAUACAUAGCCGACCCGGGAGGGUGAACGGCCACAAUGGGACUGGGAAACGGCCCAGACUCCUACGGGAGGCAGCCGGAGGGAAACUUCGGAAAUGGACGGAAGUCUGACCGAGCAACGCCGGGGGAGUGAAGAAGGGUUUCGGAGCGUAAAGCGCUGUUGUUAGGGAAGCGGUAACUAAACAGAAAGGGACGGCUAACUACGUGCCAGCAGCCGCGGUAAUUC
rnacentral:rRNA from 1 species